UUCUUACCGCGCGUGACGGUUUUGAACCC
rnacentral:sRNA from 1 species